ensembl:lncRNA
ACAGCAUGCAGAUAAAGAACAACAGCUGCCACAAAUAGUUUCUGGGGUUUUUAAUGAAGGCUAGAUUUGAAUGCUACCCACAUCAAAUCCCCAGAACAUAAUUGGAACAGAACUACCUUGGAACUGAGGCACAACUGAACUAUCUUCCAUCCUACUCUGAGGUUGUGAGGUGUCUCAUUUUUCCUCAUAGACCUAUGGCAGGAAGCUCACCCUGUCUGCUGAUCUUUAUUUGAUACUGGGGGACAAUAUCAUGUUAUCAUCAACACAUUUACAACCGGGUCAAGUUCUUGUGAAUUUGCUGUCAAAUUUUCCAAUGUUAGAUAGCACAGUCAGCUGGCUAAUUCUCUGUGGCUGUUUAUGUUAGGUAGCUACUAAGCUAGUAAGUUAACGUACCUUCAUAAUUAUUGAUGUAAAUAGAGACGUACAUCUUGAAGCCUUUCUGUCUCUUACUCCUUGGUGCUGAUGUUGCAACGUGAAUGAUGCGAUGAACCUCACUGAUUUUUAUCUUGGGAAGACAUUGAAGAGAUCUCAUUUAGAAAGUAAUUGUUUUGUCUGGUACUGUGCGUCAGCAGUUAGCCCUACUUGGAUCGGUGUCGUUAAGCAGAAAUGCUUCUGCAUACCACCCUCAAACCACACGCAACUAGCCAAUUGGUUAAACCUCAGUUAACAUUCUUAACAUUUGAAUAUACAAUACAUAGAGAAAGGGUCUUCAAAGACUGCUUGACACUCUUCUGAGAGAAUGAUAACAGUGGGUUGUUUGAUUAGUGAUUUAAUUCAAAUCAUUUAAACACAAAUGAAUUAAUUUAAAUUCUGUGUAAAAACUUGAAUCUUAAUAGGUUAAAUAAUUAAAUGAAAUGGGAAAACCUCUGAAAUUACAUAAUUAACUAGAAAAUGCAUUUCCUGAAGGAAAUACCAGUGCAUGAAAUGCAAAAGUUAAGAAAGGAAGAAGAAAAGUAAGAAGAUUGAAAGAAGGAAAGAAGAAAGGAAAGAAGAGUAAAAGAAGGAAAGAAGAAAGGAAGAAGGAAAGAAGAAAAGAAAGAAGAGUGAAGAAAGGAAUAAAGAGUGGAAGAAGGAAAGAAGAAAGGAAAGAAGAGUGAAGAAAGGAAAGAAGAGUGGAAGAAGGAAAGAAGAUAAAAGAAGGAAAGAAGAGUAGAAGAAGGAAAGAAGAGUGGAAGAAGGAAAGAAGAAAGGAAAGGAGAGUGGAAGAAGGAAAGAAGAAGAGUGGAAAAAGGAAAGAAUAAUAUUCCUAGUUAUACAGUUGAAUGGAGAGGGACAGAGAGAAGAGGAGCCUUGGAACCUUGGCGCAGGUGUCAGUGAAGCACAGGUGCAAGCCAGUUUAAUGACCCUAUUAUGAUGUCAUAAUGGCCCAAUGUAAGUCAAUGGGAAAAUUUGUAUUAGUUUUUAUUUAAUAUCUUAAAAAGUAUAACGUUUAGAAAAGUGAAAAAUACAUAGCAUAAGUGUCGUUUACAAGACCUACGCGACAAAGUUUGAACGAAGUUUCUACGUUAAGCGGUUCGAGCUGAAUUAAUCGCAGA